AGUGAACGCUGGCGGCAUGCCUAACACAUGCAAGUCGAACGGCAGCACAGUAAGUUCUUGCUGUUACCGAUUGGCGAACGCGUGCGUGUUACGUAUACAUCGGACCCUUCUUUUUCGUGGGGCAUAACGAAGCGGAACUUACGCCAAUACCGCAUACCGCCUACGAGUGAGAGCAGUGGAUCUUUGGAGCUUGCGGGAUUGAAUGAGCCGCUGUCGGAUUAGCUAGUUGGCGGGGUAAAGGCCCACCAAGGCGAGGAUCCGUAGCUGGUCUGAGAGGAUGAUCGGCCACACUGGAACUGAGACACGGUCCAGACUCCUACGGGAGGCAGCAGUGGGGAAUAUUGGACAAUGGGCGCAAGCCUGAUCCAGCCAUACCGCGUGGGUGAAGAAGGCCUUCGGGUUGUAAAGCCCUUUUGUUGGGAAAGAAAAGCUUCAGGUUAAUACGCCGCUGGUCUGACGGUACCGAAAGAAUAAGCACCGGCUAACUACGUG
rnacentral:rRNA from 1 species